rnacentral:rRNA from 1 species
GACGAACGCUGGCGGCGUGCUUAACACAUGCAAGUCGAACGAAGAAGCGGAGAGACGCGUACUCUGAUGUUAGUUUCACUUCGGUGAAGUAGCAGACGGGUGCGUAACGCUUAGGCAACCUACAUCUCACAAAGGGAUAGCCACUGGCAACCGAUAUUAUUAACAUAUGACACAUUCAUAAGACAUCUGUAGAGUGGUAAAGGUACGGCGGUAAGGGAUGGGAUGGCGUCGCAUUUGCUAGAUGGUGAGGUAACGGCACACCAAGGGGACGAUGGGUAACCGGGCUGAGAGGGUGAACGGUGACAUUGGCACUGAGACGCGGUCCAAACUCCUACGGGAGGGAGCAGUGGGGAAUAUUGCACAAUGGAGUGAACUCUGAUGGAGCGCCGCCGCGUGAGCGAUGAAGGAAUGCGUGAAGUAAAGUUCUGUUAUACGGGAAGAAAAGGACUGUACCAUAGGAGAAAGCCCCGGCUAAAUACGUG